UACGGAGGGGGCUAGCGUUGUUCGGAAUUACUGGGCGUAAAGCGCGCGUAGGCGGCUUUGUAAGUUAGAGGUGAAAGCCCAGGGCUUAACCCUGGAAUUGCCUUUAAGACUGCAUCGCUAGAAUCGUGGAGAGGUGAGUGGAAUUCCGAGUGUAGAGGUGAAAUUCGUAGAGAUCGGGAGGAACACCAGAGGCGAAGGCGGCGACCUGGACAGAUACUGACACUCAACUACGAAAGCGUGGGGAGCAAACAGG
rnacentral:rRNA from 1 species